UUGGUCUCCCAAGGACAAUAGUACCUACAAUAUUUAUUAAGUAACAUAAAAAAACUGAAAGAACAAGAAGUAGAAUUGAUCCACCAUAAUGUUAGUCAUCAUCACCGUCUAUUAUCAUCCUUAGCUUCCUUUUAGGAACAACAUCUAUUAUCCCUAAAAUGGGAUAAUUAAUUCAUCAGUUAACUUAUCAUGCAGGUCCUGAUAUUGCAAUUGAUCAGCAUUGUCCGCAGUUGGAAAAGCUACAUUCUGCAUCGCCGUCUUAGUGCAAAGAAACAUCAUCAUUUUCUACAUCUACUAUCUUAGUGGGUUGUUCAUGUUUAUGCCUGAAAGAAAGUGUCCAAUCAUAAAAAAGAAGGCAUAAAACUUAAUAUAAUAGACACGAAUACAUAUUAUUUAGUAUCUCACAUUCAUGGUAGAUCAAUAUAUUUCUUGGACUGUAAAAUUUCAAGGAAAUUUAAGUUUUCUAUGAGAUCCAUGAAACCAAAAAUCUAAAUUAUUUAACUUUGCAAGUUCAUGAAAACUAUAACACUGAAUUACCUAGACAUCGCACCACUUAUCAUUCAAUCUAUAAUUCCAAAUCUCUUGUAAUCUCUAUACAAGUUCUAGGCAAAAAUACUUAAUAAAGUUGAUAACCUAUUGAACAAUUGAUAACCUGUUGAACAAUUGUAACAACAUAAAGUCAAAAGAUCAUAAGAAAAGCAGAUUAUACAAACUUUGACUCCAAUCACAUUCCUCCUGAUACAAGUCAUAAAGAAAUAAAUAUUUCCCUUUUAACUAACAAUUUGGCCUUAAAAAUAAAAUGAAAGGAGAAAGCAUUAACGACUGCAGAAGGCAACCAGUUCUAAGUGAUAUUUAUCGAGUCUUAUAAGUUACUCAAUACAGAGCAAGAUCAAAGCAUUUAGAGGGAUCUUUGUUCUGAAGUUUAAUUUACUUAGAAUCCAUGUUUUAGAUAUUUUUGAGUAUUUGAGUACCAUCAAACCGAGGUAUUUAUUUUUUAAAAAAAAAUCUUCAUGCACAUUCUAUAUAUAUCGAUAAAUAGAAUAGAAAUACCUUCUCCAUUUAAAAAUAUUUAUAUCAAAGUAAAAACACAAUCAAAAAGUCUUUAUUAGAUUUAAUUUAUACCAAAAAUAUUCGGCUUCUACUACUUCUAAACAUGUGUAUAUUACUAUCUAGUCUGCUUAGCAUCACUAUCUAAAGGUAGCAAAGCUAAGUGGCUGCCCAAUAAUCUUAAGAGAGAUAAAUAUUAUAUCUAGCUAAGGCUGCUAAGAACUGAUAGAUUGCUUAGCCAAACAGUAAUGCCUAGACACCUAAUCAUUCAGCCUUAAAAUUCUGUUGGCAAAAUUUAUUGGAUAAAACUUGCUGCUUAGAGUGAAAUUUGUGAUCUAAAUUUAUUAGAGUGCAUCCUGUGAUGUAAAUUUCUUAUACAGAAAAAACUAAUUAUGUGUAGGUAACAGUAAAGACUGAAGGAGUACCUUCUUUUCGCAUUCAACUACUUAGUUGACCCCUUGUAGACGAUAAAUCAUUGUCAUCAAGGGUUUCUUUAGCUUCAUUACUCAACUCUAUUUUCGUCCAAUCAGAGGGGAGUGCCAUCUUACAAAAUCCUCUAAUAUACAACCUGAAUUUGCCGCCUAACACAUGAUAAGAGAAAUUUAAAAGGUUAAAUGUUACAGUAUUUACAUCACAAUAGUGUGCAUACAAGACCUGUAAAGGAUAUCACCAUAAACUUUACCUUGAACGCAUGCAUGUCAGAGAGUAGUUGAGAGCACCCAACAGCCAUAAACUUUUCCUACCGCUGUUUGCUACUAACUGCUGAUGCCCUUGAGCAGCAGCCCCCUCCUCCUUGACCACAUUCUUGAUUCAUUUGUUUGAAGUUUUGGAUGUUAUACAAAUGGUACAUUCAUCUAUUACCAAAGUACAAUAGCUGGGCAAUCCUAGAAAUUUAGAGGUACUAAUUGAGAGUCUAAAGAAAACCUCAGCCAAUGCCAAGCAUAAACACUGCUGCUGCCAUGACAGCAGCUCCGCCUCUUCUACCAAUUUCUAAAUUACAAUAAGAGUACCAUAAUACACUAAAUUUUUUUGGAGAAAAUAUAGAUAAUAUACUCACCAAUUUAAAUAAAAUACUAACCAAGUCAUUUAAACUACUUAGCUUGUCGACUGAGAGCUCAAAAAGAGCCCCUUGCCCAGCCCAUUUCGUUGCUACUGCAGCAGCCAUGUGCCUAACAUGGCCACUUAUCUAAUUUCUUGCUUCUAAUUUAUAUGAUCGUUUAAUUCCAUUUUUAGAUAUAUUGUACAUAGCAUAUGGGAGUAUUUUUAGAAAUUAUAAAACCUCCAUUUCAGGCUUGUUAGGCUGCCCAACAUUACGCUCAAAAUUGACUUGACAUACUAGCUUUCAAUUAUUUUUUCCUGUCUGACCUUGUUGCGCUAAAACAGUCAUAACUUCUUCGUUUCAAAACAUUUUUGAGCUAUUCUUGAGCCCACGUGAAGUUAAGUUCCAGGACUACAACUUUUAUUCUUUGACCAUUUUCAAAUUCGUAACAUAAAAUUCCAGAAAAUUCAUCCAAGGGGCUGGUCAGAAUCUGAUUUCCAGAUUUUGGACAGAUUCGACGCGCUUACUUUGGAAUGCCAUAACACCCUCCUCCGAGGUCGGAAUAAGUCCAUUAUGGAGGCUAUGGAUUCCUUAUUCAGUGUACUAUACUUGCCCAAAAACCCAGAAUUUUUCUAGAAAUAUAACUAGUCCUGAAAUUGGCCUCAAGGUCAGUAGCCAAACUAGUUUUCAUCUUUUUCGUUUUGGCUUGAAAUUUACUUUCAAGCCAAUCUAAUAUGCUUAAACUCUCUAAUUAUCAUCACAACUAAUUUAUAAAUCAACCCCAAGCCUUGGUUCUAUCUAAUAUUUGGUCUUUAACCAAAACAGUCCAUAGAGGACUUUUGACAAACACCAUGUAUGCACUGUUUUAAAUCACCAUUCUCAUAACUCUUUAUAUGUGUUAUCAAUCCAUUUUAGCCUUCUUAUAUCACCACACAACCAACCUAUCUCCUUUAUUCUAUUUCAAUUCAUAGCAGUUCAAUUAUAGCUCAAUCACAAUUAUAUAAUCUUAAUAACCAAUUAAUUCUUAUAAUUUUCAUAAAACUCAUAAAUUACCUCUUACUGGGUAUUCAACUUUAAUUCCCUGCUGCAACAGCCUUGUUGUCCUUCUUUAAUGCCAUCAGUGAGUUGAAACAAUGAGUUUUACAAUUUAAAGGAAUAUAAAUGUGACUAUUUUGGAGGUGGAUCGAGGGAGAGAAAGGAGUGAGGGAUAGUCGGAAGUAGUUAGGGCUUCCGGGGAUCGGAAGCAGUGAAGAAGGGGAUGAUAAGGUGGGGGCACAGAAAAUAG
rnacentral:lncRNA from 1 species